UAGUCAUAUGCUUGUCUCAAAAAUUAAGCCAUGCAUGUCUAAUUAUAAGCAAUCUAUACGGUGAAACUGCGAAUGGCUCAUUAAAUCAUUUAUCGUUUAUUUGAUAGUACCUUACUACUUGGAUAACCGUGGUAAUUCUAGAGCUAAUACAUGCUAAAAACCCCGACUUCGGAAGGGGUGUAUUUAUUAAAUAAAAAACCAAUGCCCUUCGGGGCUCCUUGGUGAUUCAUAAUAACUUAACAAAUCGCAGGGCCUUGUGCCGGCAAUGGUUCAUUCAAAUUUCUGCCCUAUCAACUUUCGAUUGUAAGGUAGUGGCUUACAAUGGUUUCAACGGGUAACGGGGAAUUAGGGUUCUAUUCCGGAAAGGGAGCCUGAAAAACGGCUACCACAUCCAAGGAAGGCAGCAGGCGCGCAAAUUACCCAAUCCCGACACGGGGAGGUAGUGACAAUAAAUACUGAUACAGGGCUCUUUUGGGUCUUGUAAUUGGAAUGAGUACAAUUUAAAUCCCUUAACGAGGAACAAUU
rnacentral:rRNA from 1 species